rnacentral:rRNA from 1 species
CCUACGGGAGGCAGCAGUGAGGAAUAUUGGUCAAUGGACGAGAGUCUGAACCAGCCAAGUAGCGUGAAGGAUGACUGCCCUAUGGGUUGUAAACUUCUUUUAUAUGGGAAUAAAAUGUUCCACGUGUGGGAUUUUGUAUGUACCAUAUGAAUAAGGAUCGGCUAACUCCGUGCCAGCAGCCGCGGUAAUACGGAGGAUCCGAGCGUUAUCCGGAUUUAUUGGGUUUAAAGGGAGCGUAGGUGGAUUGUUAAGUCAGUUGUGAAAGUUUGCGGCUCAACCGUAAAAUUGCAGUUGAAACUGGCAGUCUUGAGUACAGUAGAGGUGGACGGAAUUCGUGGUGUAGCGGUGAAAUGCUUAGAUAUCACGAAGAACUCCGAUGGCGAAGGCAGUUCACUGGACUGCAACUGACACUGAGGCUCGAAAGUGUGGGUAUCAAACAGGAUUAGAUACCCCGGUAGUC